GUGGCGAACGGGUGAGUAACACGUGAGCAAUCUGCCCUUGACUCUGGGAUAACUGCGGGAAACUGUAGCUAAUACCGGAUACUUUCCUCGCUGGGCAUCCAGCGGGGAAGAAAGAAUUUCGGUCAAGGAUGAGCUCGCGGCCUAUCAGCUAGUUGGUGAGGUAAAGGCUCACCGAGGCGGCGACGGGUAGCCGGCCUGAGAGGGUGACCGGCCACACUGGAACUGAGACACGGUCCAGACUCCUACGGGAGGCAGCAGUGGGGAAUAUUGCACAAUGGGCGAAAGCCUGAUGCAGCAACGCCGCGUGAGGGAUGAAGGCCUUCGGGUUGUAAACCUCUUUUAGCAGGGAAGAAGCGAAAGUGACGGUACCUGCAGAAAAAGCACCGGCUAACUACGUGCCAGCAGCCGCGGUAAUACGUAGGGUGCAAGCGUUGUCCGGAAUUAUUGGGCGUAAAGAGCUCGUAGGCGGUUUGUCACGUCUGCUGUGAAAAUCCGAGGCUCAACCUCGGACUUGCAGUGGGUACGGGCAGGCUAGAGUGCGGUAGGGGAGAAGGGAAUUCCUGGUGUAGCGGUGGAAUGCGCAGAUAUCAGGAGGAACACCAAUGGCGAAGGCACUUCUCUGGGCCGUAACUGACGCUGAGGAGCGAAAGCGUGGGGAGCGAACAGGAUUAGAUACCCUGGUAGUCCAC
rnacentral:rRNA from 1 species